rnacentral:lncRNA from 1 species
GCUGUCUUGUAAGGGGCACAGCAGCAACCCCAGGACACUGAGGGCAGAGCCUCCAGGACCCAUCACUGGAGAUGACUGCCUGGGAAGACUCACUUCACCGUUAGAGAAGUGUGGCCUUCCCUGGUGGCUCUAGGUUCACAGUACACAGAAUUACCUGCUUUGAGGCAACGCUUCUCUUACCAAGUAGUGACUUAAGAAACAAGAUGUAUGUAAUACUAGUGCCUGGGAAGGAAAAACCACCAAGUAUGGAAGAGAUCAGUUAUGACAGCAGACAGGCUCUUUCACAAAGUAUACUGAAGGAUUCCUGAGUCACCGCCUAGGAUGGCUCCUCCAGCUGCAGUCCAAGAUUCAUCUCCCCUGGGCACUGCAGCAUGAAGACUGUCAGCCCAUUCUCUCCAGUCCAAAGGCUGCUUUUGA